AGAGUUUGAUCCUGGCUCAGAGUGAACGCUGGCGGCGUGCUUAACACAUGCAAGUCGAACGAGAACGGGUCAUAGCUUGCUAUGAUUGUCAGCUAAGUGGCGCACGGGUGAGUAAUAUAUAGUUAAUCUGCCCUAGAGAGAGGGAUAACAGUUGGAAACGGCUGCUAACACCUUAUAUGCCUUUAAGACAUAAGUCUGCAAGGGAAACAUUUAUGGCUCUAGGAUGAGACUGUACGGUAUCAGCUAGUUGGUGAGGUAAUGGCUCACCAAGGCAAUGACACCUAACUGGUUUGAGAGGAUGAUCAGUCACACUGGAACUGAGACACGGUCCAGACUCCUACGGGAGGCAGCAGUGGGGAAUAUUGCACAAUGGACGAAAGUCUGAUGCAGCAACGCCGCGUGGAGGAUGACACAUUUCGGUGCGUAAACUCCUUUUAUAUGGGAAGAUAAUGACGGUACCAUAUGAAUAAGCACCGCUAACU
rnacentral:rRNA from 1 species